rnacentral:ncRNA from 1 species
AGACGAUAAAGGCAAUCCCGAACGUCUUUUCCCGGGAGGGGAGAGAAGCGCCGAAAGGCUGGGAGCGCAAAGCUGUGGGGCUAAUGGGACUCUGUCUCGAUGCCGGACUGGCUACCGAA